GACCCAAUAGCACAACGGUUAGUGCGCCUGCUAGCAUUUGACCGGGAACAAAUGCCGUAAGCGGGAGGUCCCUGUUCGAUUCGGGUUGGGCCA